rnacentral:rRNA from 1 species
UUAGUAACUGCGAGUGAAGUGGGAAGAGCUCAAAUUUAAAAUCUGGCAGCCUCCUUUUUGCUACUUGGCUGUCUGAGUUGUAAUCUAGAGAAGUGCUUACCUGUGCUGGACCGUGUAUAAGUCUCCUGGAACGGAGUGUCACAGAGGGUGAGAAUCCUGUCUUUGACACGGACUACCAGCGCGCUGUGGUGUGCUCUCAAAGAGUCGAGUUGUUUGGGAAUGCAGCUCUAAAUGGGUGGUAAACUCCAUCUAAAGCUAAAUACGGGCGAGAGACCGAUAGCGAACAAGUACCGUGAGGGAAAGAUGAAAAGGACUUUGGAAAGAGAGUUAAACAGUAUGUGAAAUUGUUGAAAGGGAAACACUUGAAGUCAGUUGUGUCGGGUAGGGAUCAACCUAGUUGUAUUGCUGGGUGAAUUUCCUGACUUUGACAGGCCAACAUCAGUUCUGACUGCUGGAGAAAGGCAGAGGGAAUGUGGCACCCUCGGGUGUGUUAUAGCUUUCUGUCGGAUGCAGCAGUCGGGACUGAGGAAUGCAGCAUGCUGCAAAGCUGGGUCUUGGACCACAUUCAUGCUUAGGAUGUUGGCUUUUUUAAUGGCUUUAAUUGACCCGUCUUGAAACACGGACCAAGGAGUCUAACAUGCCUG